rnacentral:rRNA from 1 species
AAUCCAUAGGUUAAUGAGGCGAACCGGGGGAACUGAAACAUCUAAGUACCCCGAGGAAAAGAAAUCAACCGAGAUUCCCCCAGUAGCGGCGAGCGAACGGGGAGGAGCCCAGAGCCUGAAUCAGCAUGUGUGUUAGUGGAAGCGUCUGGAAAGGCGCGCGAUACAGGGUGACAGCCCCGUACACAAAAGCGCAUGUGCUGUGAGCUCGAUGAGUAGGGCGGGACACGUGGUAUCCUGUCUGAAUAUGGGGGGACCAUCCUCCAAGGCUAAAUACUCCUGACUGACCGAUAGUGAACCAGUACCGUGAGGGAAAGGCGAAAAGAACCCCGGCGAGGGGAGUGAAAAAGAACCUGAAACCGUGUACGUACAAGCAGUGGGAGCACAGGUUUACCUGUGUGACUGCGUACCUUUUGUAUAAUGGGUCAGCGACUUAUAUUCUGUAGCAAGGUUAACCGAAUAGGGGAGCCGGAGGGAAACCGAGUCUUAAUUGGGCGUUAAGUUGCAGGGUAUAGACCCGAAACCCGGUGAUCUAGCCAUGGGCAGGUUGAAGGUUGGGUAACACUAACUGGAGGACCGAACCGACUAAUGUUGAAAAAUUAGCGGAUGACCUGUGGCUGGGGGUGAAAGGCCAAUCAAACCGGGAGAUAGCUGGUUCUCCCCGAAAGCUAUUUAGGUAGCGCCUCGUGAAC